GGACUACCAGGUAUCUAAUCCUGUUUGCUCCCCACGCUUUCGUGCCUCAGCGUCAGUUACAGUCCAGAGAGCCGCCCUCGCUACUGGUGUUCCUCCUAAUAUCUACGCAUUUCACCGCUACACUAGGAAUUCCACUCUCCUCUCCUGCACUCAAGUCCUACAGUUCCAAAAGCUUACUACGGUUGAGCCGUAGCCUUUCACUUCUGGCUUGAAAGACCGCCUACGCACCCUUUACGCCCAGUAAUUCCGGAUAGCGCUAGCCCCCUACGUAUUACCGCGGCUGCUGGCACGUAGUUAGCCGGGGCUUCCUCCUCAAGUACCGUCAUUAUCCUCCCUUGAGGACAGAGCUUUACGACCCGAAGGCCUUCAUCGCUCACGCGGCGUUGCUGCAUCAGGCUUUCGCCCAUUGUGCAAUAUUCCCCACUGCUGCCUCCCGCAGGAGUCUGGACCGUGUCUCAGUUCCAGUGUGGCCGAUCACCCUCUCAGGUCGGCUACUGAUCGUCGCCUUGGUAAGCCGUUACCUUACCAACUAGCUAAUCAGACGCGGGUCCAUCCUGUACCGCAAAAGCUUUGAUAUUUUUAUCAUGCAAUAAAAAUACAUCAUCUCGUAUUAGCAUACCUUUCGGUAUGUUAUCCGUGUGUACAGGGCAGGUUACCCACGCGUUACUCACCCGUCCGCCGCUCUUCUCCGAAGAGAAUCGCUCGACUUGCAUGUGUUAGGCACGCCGC
rnacentral:rRNA from 1 species